rnacentral:rRNA from 1 species
CCCUUAGAUGUUCUGGGCCGCACGCGCGCUACACUGACGAUGGCAACGAGUUUUUCCUUCGCCGAAAGGUGUGGGUAAUCUUUCGAAACAUCGUCGUGCUGGGGAUAGAUCAUUGCAAUUUUUGAUCUUGAACGAGGAAUUCCUAGUAAGCGCGAGUCAUCAGCUCGCGUUGAUUACGUCCCUGCCCUUUGUACACACCGCCCGUCGCUACUACCGAUUGAAUGGUUUAGUGAGGACUCCUGAUUGGCGCCGCCGCCCCGGCAACGGAGCAGCGGACUGCCGAAAAGUUGUUCAAACUUGAUCAUUUAGAGGAAGUAAAAGUCGUAACA